rnacentral:misc_RNA from 1 species
UACAGAGGGUGCAAGCGUUAAUCGGAAUGACUGGGCGUAAAGGGCGCGUAGGCGGAUAGAUAAGUGCGAUGUAAAAGACUCGGGCUCAACCUGAGGAGGUCAUCGUAGACUGUUUAUCUAGAGUGAGAGAGAGGUUACGGGAAUUUCCGGAGGAGCGGUGAAAUGCGUAGAUUUCGGAAAGAACACCAAUGGCGAAGGCAAGUAACUGGUUCUCAACUGACGCUGAGGCGCGAAGGCGUGGGUAGCGAACAGG